rnacentral:lncRNA from 1 species
AUGCUUCAACAGAAAAGAGAGAAUGAAAUCAACAAGUACAAUGGUAUCAUUAGCUGUGGGGCUUCCCCGGUAGCUAAGACUGUAAAGAAUCUGCCUGCAAUGCCAGUUUUAUCUCUGAGUAGGAAAGAUGCCUUGGGGAAGGAAAUGGCAACCCACUCCAAUAUUCUUGCCUUGAGAAUUCCUUGGACAGAGGAGCCUGGAGGGUUGCAGUCUGUGGGGUCACAAAGAGUCAGACAUGACUGAAUGACUAACACUUUUCACUUUCACUAUCAUUAGCUGUGAACCGUUGUCCUAGAAGCGAAUCUAUCUAAAGUAUCUGAAACAGUUAUUCAGAGAUCAGUUUAUGA